UUACGGCCGUAUCACGUUUAAAAACCAGUUUCCGUACAAUCACCAAAGUUAAGCACCGUCGAGCCUGGUAAGUACCUAGAUGAGUGAGCGUUUGGGAAUACCUGGUGUUACAAG